AGCACAUUAAGAAAAAACUUGACCCAAGCCCCCAAACAAGAUAGUUGAUGGAAGAAAAAAGCUGUCUGCUUAGGCUUGAAAGUUCUUCAAGAGGAGGAAUGCAAAGGGACUGAAGAACUCAAACAGUUCUCAUCCAUGCCCCUUCUCCAUGCCAACAUAUUUCUUUCUUCCAACUUCUGAUCGCAAAUUAGUAGUUUAGUAACUGACCUUGUAGAGUUUUGGACUAUUAUUCUAUUUGGGUCUGCUUUCACCUAAAUAACAACCAUCUGGUGGUGUCUCAAAUCAGAUACGUGUGAUGGACUGUGUAUAAUAACCAGUUCAAGGAUUGUCAGGGGAAGGGUUAACAUUCUUGCCCUGAGCAGAAGGACCACAGCUGCAUGCCGUAAACUUAGCACAGAGAUUGUCAGGGUAGAAGGCCUGGGUCAGCUGUAAAGAAUUAAGCAAAUCCCCCUACUACAAGAAGAGGGAAGAAGAAGAGUGGAAUUAAGAAGUCCCUUUCUGUCUUUGUGUUUGGUUCAUGGUGAAACAGAUAUCUGAGAACGUUUGAGGCAUACCUCAACCCUUAGCCUCUACACAAUUUUUCCUCAUGGAAGGUCUUGCACCUUGAUCUCACAGAACCUGAGCAAUCCAUCUUCUGUUCCAGCAAUGCGUGAAGUUUGCACAAGGAAAGGUGGAAGUUUUACUCUAUGUUGAAAAGUUUCCAGUGCAAAACUUUCUUCAAGAGCAAGAUUGAAGCAUAAAGAUGUCUUGUUUUCUCCUAGAUGUUGUAUGCUUCUUCAGAACAAAUAAUUUCCAAAUGUAGAGUUCAGUGAAAGGUUUAUCAUAGGGAUGUGAGGAAAUAGCACAUCUUCCUCUUACAAAUCAUGGGACAGCUGGAAACAAAAGUAUGUGUCACAGGAUAUUAGUGAUGGAAAAAAAAUUAUUAAGGGCUGGUUGACUUUGUAUAUCCAAAGUCUCUUUUGUGGAGAGUAGGAAUGUGAAAUACUGGAGCGUCUUGCAGAAAGGAGGCUUCCUCAAAAAGACAAGGCCGAGGAUGUUAUUACAGCCCGGGACCAUGCCCAAAUCCAGGCACUUGUUGUUUGUCAGAAGGCUGCUGCUCCUCUUGUGUCUUUGGAGGAAUUGCCUGAGGGAGCAGCCACCUACCUGAACCUUUGCUCCUGCCUUUCCUGACUUGUGAGGAGGAACAGAGCACCUAGACGUGGCAUGAGACCUGCUCAGUCUGAUUUGCAGCUUAGAAAAGACACUACUUUGAGCUCUAGAUCCUACUUUGAGAGCACAACUCAGGUGAAGAAAGCAUGAACGUGUCCACUCCUCAGCUGUUGAUGCUCCCUUCGUAACAAGUGGUGAGAAACAGCACAUGAUUCAUCUCGGCCUUAAGGUUAAACGUUUGAAGUAGAAAGCCAUUUUACCAUGUGAAAUCUGCUCCGAGGAGCCUACAUCUCUCUCCUUAGUCAUCUGUAAGGAGGUUGCUACCUGACUGUGUUUCAGAGCUAGGACACAGGUCAAGUGAGAUGAUAAAUGUGCCAGCAGGUAAGAUCCUUUGUGAAGCUGGCACUUGGCUAUGUGUCUAGCUAAACACUCACAAGGGUUAAUGCAGCUUGGGUUUGAGCUGCUGCUCCAACCUCAGCCUCAAAAUGUCUUCUCCUGUGAACUGCUGGGUACCGCUUUGUGCUGUUUGGACAGCUGCAGAUCUCCGCUCCUGAGGGACCUGCAGGCUUGCACUGGGUGAAGUCUUGUAUACACAACCACGGUUUUGUGUACUCCUUUGGAAUCCAUCUGCACAAAAGGCACUGUAUAAACAGAAGAUCACCAGUGCUGUACAACCAGGAUUACAUGUCUAAGCUCCAUUAACACUAUGGUUGCAAUAGAUUUUACCUUUUUUGUAGUCCUGCAUAAAUGAAAACCACCGAGACUAAGAUAAAUAUCUACACAAGGCUUGGCCCUUUAGACAGCCCUCCUCUGGACAAAGGUUUGGAUUCUGCCACAUGUUCUGCUGAACUAAGAGAGUUGGUCAAACUUAUAUUGUGUUGGGUAAGGCCUACUGGCAAGCACCAGUUUACAGAAAUGAUGCUGUAUCUCUCUCUAGAGCACGAGGUUGUUAGCCACAUAAGAAAAUUGAUUCACAACUCAAUAUUAUAAAUUCAGUGGAUGUAACAACAGACACAGUAGAAAUCAUGCUUGCAGUAUAACACCUUUGCAGGAUACCCUUUGAGGCUUAGGUGAAGAAUUUCUCAGCUUCUUCCUUCUGAUCCCAUUGAGGUAUAAUUCCUGCCACAAGAGUACAGGGCUACAGCUGGGAUGGCUCACCAGAAGAGUUUUGCCUUCCCAGAGCCUGUUGUGCUGUGCCAAAAUCAUACGCAAAUGUCUGGUAGAGACUAUUCGAUGAACUGUCUGGGAGAGCACAGGAGCCAUGGAUAAAUCAUUUAGCAGAGAUUGCUACGUUUGGCAUGUCAGGGAGAUUACUGAAUUAUAAUGGAGGGGGAGAGAGGUUUCAGAUUUUAGUUUCUAUCAAAAUGUUUUUUGUAUCUCAAUAAAGACUCUACAGUAAACUAA